GGGCUAGGCCAGCUGGAGGCGGCCCAGUUUAGGGAGUGGUACUCGGCUCCGAGACCUGCUUGUCAGUCUAGUGCCGGUCUGGCCAACCCCCGCAGCAAGGAUGCUCCUGGGGUUCCGGAGAGGCGGCAAGAGGCAGUUUAAACGCAUCAUCCAUGGCCUUCUCCCUGCAGCCAGCAUCGCACCGAAGCCAGCUGUGCCCCGCACACCUCCUCCACGCAGCCCCAACCCCUCUCCAGAGAGACCAAGAUCUGCUCUGGCUGCAGCCAUUCUAGCAACAACAUUGACUGGCCGGACUGUUGCCAUUCCUCAGCCUCGCCGGAGAUCCCACUCUGAGAGUGACACGACCUACAUUGAAAAGGACAGUUUCAUCGAGCCCUAUGCCACCGUCUCGGAGCUGAGGCAUCAACCACAUAGGCAGAAUGAGACGGGAAGAAGAUCUUCUUUGCCAUCCUUUGAAAUGCUGGGCUACGAGGAGGAAGAGGACACUGACACACACCUGUCACGCAGCCACAGGGAGUCGGGGGACACAAGUGCUUGCAAAGAAGAGGGAAGCCUCAGCGACGCCGUGUAUGCCGUGCCACACAGAAAUCAGGUUCCAUCGUCACAUGGGGUAGACAGUGAAGAUGAGGAAAAUAUUUCUGAACAAGAUGGGUUUCCAGGCUCACCUGUUCCACCAGAGCGUACGCAAGAAAAAGAUGGUAAACAUUCUAUUCUGAAUUUAAAGGAUGAAAAAUCACCAUUGUGUGGAAAACCUCCACCCUCUCCAGAUGUAAAUGGUAGGACACAUCGAAGACAUAUAGAAAUAACCAAAGAAAAGUUCGAGGAAUUAAAGGAAGAAAAUUUGCAUCUAAACAAUGCAAAUCAAACCCUUACUCUUGAACUUAACAUAAUAAAAAAAACAAUGAAAGAACUACAGUUAAAACUUAAAAGGAUGGAAAAAGAAAAUAGAAAGCUGAAAGAAGUUGAGAAAGCAUCCUCUCAGGAAGUAGUCGCUGCACCUGAAUUACAUUAUCUAAGAAAACAAGCUCAAGAACUGGUGGAUGAAAAUGAUGGAUUGAAAAUGACUGUUCAUUGUUUGAAUGUAGAACUGAGUAGAUAUCAAACAAAAUUCAGGCAUUUAUCCAAGGAAGAGAGUUUAAAUAUUGAAGGCCUCCCAUCAAAGGGCCCUAUACCACCCUGGCUGGUGGAUACAAAGUACCUGUCCCCCUUGUUGCUGGCCUAUGAAGACAGAAUGAAAGAGAAGGACGAGCUCAAUGCCAGCCUUCAGGAGGAAAUGAGAACGUUUAAGAUAAGAGUCCAAGAAGUGGUGAAAGAAAAUGAAGAAUUGCACCAAGAGCUGAAUAAGAAUAGUGUUGUCACCAGUGAGGAAUGGCGUCAGCUUCAGACUCAAGCAGAACUGGUUUUAGAGGAAAACAAGUUGUUGAUAGAGCAGUUGGAGAUUCAGCAAAGAAAAGCCAAGGACGCGCACCAGGAGCGUCUCCAGGAAGUUUCUAAACUGACUAAACAGCUAAUGCUUCUGGAGACUAAAACACAGAGCCAAGAAAAGGAGCUAACUAAAAGUAAGGAGCAAUUGGAAACUUUAAGGACAGAAUGCCAGGAACUAAAACUACAGUUGGACAGCAAAGUUGCAAUAGAAGUUCACACUUCAGUUGUAAAUGAAUUAAAAAGCCAGUUGCAGAAGGAAGAAGAGAAAGAAAAUGCUGAGAUGGAAGAGUUGAUGGAAAAGUUGGCAGCCCUGCAAGUGCAGAAAAAGAGCCUGCUAUUAGAGAAGAAAAAUCUGACGGCUAAAAACAAGGGUCUGGAAGCUGAACUCGAAAAGGCACAGAAAAUAAAUAGGAGAUCUCAGAAGAAAAUUGAUGUCUUCAAAAAGCAGGUGGAAAAAGCCAUGGAGAACGAAAUGUCUGCUCACCAGUACCUGGCAAAUCUUGUUGUCCUGGCAGAGAAUAUAACCCAGGAACGUGACAAUCUUAUGUAUUUGCCGCUCCCCAGCGCUCGCAUCACUGCCUCAGCCCCACCUCACAUCAUCAGGCAAUAGAUUCUCAUAAGGAGCACGCAACCUAGAUCCCUCGCAUGCGCAGUUCACAGUAGGGCUCACGCUCCUAUGAGAAAUUAAUGCCGCCACUGAUCUGACAGGAGGCGGAGCUCAGGUUGUAAUGCGAGCCAUGGGGAGCGGCUGUAAAUACAGAUGAAGCUUCACUCUCUCACUCGCCUACCGCUCACCUCCUGCUGUGCAGCUCGGUUCCUAACAGGCCGUGGACCAGUACCGGUCUGUGGCCCGGGGGUUGGGGACCCCUGCCCUUGAUGAUGGAGCACUGCUCAGCCAGCAAGAGUGAUGCUGUGGGCAUGAUCUCACAUCUCCACGCUGAUUUUAAAAGAUGUCUACAGCAGGUUGUGCAGUGAAAGAAGACAGAUGCUGUGCCAAGCUAUGUGUUGAAAAAAGUCUGAUAGAAUUUACCACAAAAUAUAACGGUGAGUUAGAUAACUGUAUCUCCAGAUGGUGAAAUGACAGGUGAUUUUUUAAAAAAUCUUUUUUACCUAUCUGCAUUUUAUGAUUUUUCUACUUUGAAUACAUAUUGCUUAUGUACAUUUAAACAUGUUUAUUUAAGCAAUGUUGCAAAUCUCUGGUGGCAUAGGAUCAGAAGUAAUAAUUCAAUGCAUGUCAUUCCAAGAGCCCAGCAGACUUUCUGUGAGAGUCAGAAAACAGCCAACGUGGAGGUAACUCCGCCCUUCCUCAGGGUGAUUGAGGGGCAGAGAGUCUGUCAGGAUGUGUCACAGGCUUAUUCCCAUCUGUUCGAAAGAUGUUAAGUUCCUCCAUAGGAGAAUGGACACAGGCUUUUAGCCGUUGUUUACAUAAGAGGACAUAUAAAUAGUCUGCAGCUCUUGGGGCAAAAUGUUGAUCUUUACUUGUAAUAAAAGAAAUGCUAAUUAAGCCAGUCUUGAGACUCCAUUUUGCACUUAUAUUAAUGUUACAAAAAUUUUUUUUUUUUAAAUUGCAGUGGUUGCUGGUAGGAGCGUGGUAAGCGUGGUGAGGCGUCACUGGUGAUUUCUGCGCCCUUCCCCGAGCCUUUUAGAGGCAAUUUGACUUUGACAUGCCAUGGCAGGAGCCUUAAAAGCAUUCAGACCUCCUGAACCAGUAGUCCCCUCCUGAGAGGUCACUAUCCCAACCCAAGUGCUGAAGUCUCUGGCAUGUUCUGUACCAGUGCUGAGUGCCCAUUUCCUCUUCUGCUGUGUCUCCUGAGCUUACCCACUAGGAUAUCGAGGGCAACACAAAAGCUUGUUGAAAAAUGGAAAGUGCCAAGCAAACGCAUUCAUCUAGCAAACACUCAUGGGAACCUGGCUGCCUCGUGUCAGGGCCAUCUUGUUUACGGGGUGGGACAUGCUGGUUCCCCCAGGAGGCAGGCCCUGUACCUCCUGUUUGGGCCAGAGAGCAUCCCAGGCUUCCAUGAUGAAGUCAAGAGCCUCCUCGACCAUCAAACGGUCUCCUUAGGCUCACUCCUCAUAUUUGUGGACCCAGGAUGGAAAUACAAAUGGAGGCCAUAUACUGCUUGUCCAAAUACUUCAAAGUUACAGAUUAAGCCAACAGACUAUUAAUAAAAUGUGUUCUCUCCUCCCACCUUGACCUUUGUUAUUAUGGCCUGAAAGCCAGGCUCAGAUUUAGAAUCUUCAGACCCUCCAGAUGCGGGGGGAGCUGCUCUCAGCCUGCCCUGGCUCCACCCGCCAUGAGGGACCUCUGUGUGCACACGGACUGCUGUCCGCUUGGCCCUGCAGGCUCCUUGCCCCGGCAGCCCCAAGACCAGCCUCUGUAGCUGGGGUUCGGGGCUGGUACUGGCCGCCUCUGCCCUGUCGUGGGACUGUUGGCCGUGCACCCUCACCUUACCCUGUCCUGGUCCCCUGGGCCUUGUGAGAGCCCCUUAUAUAGUACUUUAUUGAUACUGGCAUCUUCAUUUCGAAUCCCUUUAGGAUGGGUUUCCAUGUGACUUGUGGCAAGUUUAAUUCCCUGGGUCUUACUUUUCCUUUCUAGAAAAUCACUCGUCACUACUGUACUACCUUAGAAGGAAUGCUCGCCUUUACUUUUAAAAAAAAUUUUACCAUUUGAAAUGGUCAAUUUAUAGUGUGUAGUAGUUCGUGUCCCAUCUGGAUAUUAAUCUAAAUCAUUCCACUUCAGUGACAUCCCUCUUUGAUCUACUGCCCGUCACAUUUGGUUUGGAGAAUGGCCUUGUGCAUUCAUCUCAAGUUAUCUUUAAUUUUGUUAAUUAUUCAAACAUUCCAGUGAGAAUUUUAUUUGCAUGUUGGGGCUUGUUCCUUGGAUAUGAUGGAAGGAAUAGUAUAUUCCCCAAGAAUAGAGAAGUGUCCUGGAAGCUCACAUCCCCCUUGUUUGAGGGGCUCAGAUUUUCCAUUUGUACCCAGGAGGGGCACCCAGCCUGCCGUUCCCGGCUCUUGCCCUCCUCAGCUGUUGGUCCAAGUUCUGCCCACAGCCCUCACACAGGGGGUAGGAAUCUGGAGGUGAGGGGCUGGAGAGGUGUCAGGCCAGGACGAGUGGCAGAAUGGUAAUACUCUUUGUAGUAAUACUCUUAGCAGAAGAUUUUUUAUUAUUUUAAUUUUCCUGUUAAACUAAGAGCCCAUUGUUUUUCUUUUCACUUUACUCCGUAGGCUAAAUGUUUAGAAAGUGAGAAGCAUGGAGUUCUCAACAAAAUCAUAGAAGGCAAUAUUCGCUUGGGAAGGUUGGAGGAAAAAGUCAAGGGGUACAGGAAGCAGGCGGCACUGAAGCUGGGUGACAUCAGUCACCGUCUGACAGAGCAG